UUAAGCUACAAAGGGCUUACGGUGGAUGCCUUGGCA
rnacentral:rRNA from 1 species